UACGAAGGGGGCUAGCGUUACUCGGAAUUACUGGGCGUAAAGGGCGCGUAGGCGGCGUUCCAAGUUAGGCGUGAAGUCCUGGGCUCAACCUGGGAACUGCGCUUAAGACUGGAAUGCUAGAGGAUGGAAGAGGGUUGUGGAAUUCCCAGUGUAGAGGUGAAAUCGUAGAUAUUGGGAAGAACACGGUGGCGAAGGCGGCGACCUGGUCCGAUACUGACGCUGAGGCGCGAAACGUGGGGAGCAAACAGGAUU
rnacentral:rRNA from 1 species